GUGCGUUGCGAACGAGCGAGCGAAGCCUUUGCCCUCGAGCGACGCCGCACCAGACCCUUCACCCUCGCAGCCGUCGCCGAUCCCCUCCCUCAAACGCCGCCGCCCGUCGCUGCCGCCCCCGCCACCUCCCGUCGCGGGAAGGCGGGAGGAGCCCUGCCCGGCCAUGGCGACACCGCCGGCGGCCUCCUCCUCCCCCUCACCUUCUCUCCCUCUCCCAAGGAGGGAAGGGAAUGGAAGGGAUCUGAUUGGAGCGGUGGAUCUGUGCCCUUGCCAUCUCUUCUUUUCUUCACCGAUUCCAGGAGGAGAUCGAAGUGGGAGGUAGACGAGCAGGAGCGCCGCGUCCGCGACAGCGAUGAGCGACGACCCAGGUUCUCCUCUCCCAUGGCAGGGGUCGGCGAGUGGCAACAGAUGCGGGACACCAACUGGUGGCGCAACGGACAGCGAGAGGCGGGACACCAACUGGGUGCGCCUCUCGCGGCCGACUUCCACGGCGGCGACGUCGUUUACCUGGGCGCCUGCUUCUUUCCGACUCAGCGAUCCCCGCGGGCACCGAUGGACGGCGACGGGCAGCACGUGCGGCCGCGGAGCCGCGCGCUCCUGACCGACGACGAGGAUGACGGGACGUACGCCACUGACGUGUACAGCGGCAACCUCGCCGCCACGGGCGGGUCUCGUGCUGGCUGGAUCUUGGGGCGGUAGCAGUACUUGGUGCAGCGCCGCCGCGGCGACUACGGCAGCGUCGAGGUCGUCGUCCUCCUCAUCCGCACAGGGAAGCUGGACUGGGAGGUUUGCUGCUUCCGGUCGGCAGACGAUGGCUAUGACGCUAUGCCCAGCACGAGUGCUAACGCCAUCACGACCGGCACCACUGGCACCAGCAGCCGUACGGUGUGCUCUCCGGGAUGCUGCAGUCGAAGGGUCGAGCAGGACUAUGGAUGCCAGCAAACAAGCCUGUGCAGACAGCAAUGCAUCAAUCAAAUCGGAUGGAGAACAUCACACAACAGCCUUUCUCCAGGACAUAAAGAAAAUGGUGGCACUUUGGGUUUUGAAGACGCCGCCCAUCGUAGGACUACGAACAUGGGACGCUCGGUCGAGUUUUUCUUAACUCGUCAGGAUUCUCAUGCUGCAAAUUUAGUAACGGGGCAAAUUUUUGGGUGUCCUGAUGUGUUUGCGGAUUGAUGAAAAUUUGGCGAGGGAGGUCAUAAACCAUCGCUCGCUGCAGCACAUCAAUUGUUGAAUUCGUUCGAAGGAGCUGUCAAUUGUUGAAUUCGCUUGAAGGAGAUGGAGCUCGUUUGGCUGAAUUUGCUACUGAGUUGCCACAUUUUGAGGGCCUGCAAUUGGAGAAUACAACACUUGAGAUAACAAUUGAAGAAUACUAGAGUAAUGAUAACUACUGCAAGAGUGAUGUAUUUUCUUUUUGUUGGAGAUUUUCUGCAUCUUUUAUGGACGGUAACAUUUUAGAUAACAAUUUGAUGUGCUAACCAUCAAGAUCAACUUCGACAUGUUUGGUCUCUAAAAGUUACUAUUGACCAUCAUUGGUGCAUCCUAUAAGAAGGGGAAAAUAAAGCAUUAAUGUGGAGUAUGUUCCAAUGGAAAUCUUCAGGAACACCUUGAAGGUCUGAGUGCAAUUUUUCUUUAGUUCUCUGUGAGCUUAAAAAUGCAACUGAUGUGGCCCAUGCAACUGAGAUUAAAAACAUGGAGAAGAAUCAUAAAAGAUCUCGCUGAAAAUGCCCUCGUUCCGCACUUCGUGUGGACAGGCAGCGCCCUUUACCUUCGAAGUCUCGAAAAAUGGGCUGGGUGAUGCGGGUGCCUCAAUGCUUGAUACCAUGUUCUGUAAGAGGCCAAGGUUGUAUUUGGGUGUCCACGCGCUACAGGGAAUUAUUGUGCGGAGUAGUAAGAAUUGAUUUAAACGUAGAGCCUAGACUCGCACUCCAUGAGCAUCCAUGGCCGGCGAGACAGGACCCUCGACCCUCGGCCUCUGUUGAGAAGGAUCGUUCCACUGUGUCCGAUUUGUAGUACAGAGCAAUCUCAUUCCUCUGAAGUUCCUAUUGGGCAAAAUGGGCAAGAUGUGUUUGGUUAAUGUAUGACUAUCACGUUCCCCACCAAGUGAAAUGUGAUAUUUCACCACAAACAUUGACGAAGUUAAGUUCAGUGCAGGCAAAAUGGAUAAGUCUGUAACUGGAACUCUGGAUAGUUGAUCCUCUGAAUGGCGAAAAAUUUAUCAAAGUUGCUGAGGUUCAGGGGUCUGAAAUUAAGCCAUUUGUGGAUAGUUUAUCUAAAUGCCCAAAACCCACUUAGAGCUCCAGAGAGGUCUUGUUUUCUUGUACUAUGGAUUUAAGGUGAUUCUCAAGAGGAACAAGUCGCCAUGGACCGAUGAGAUCGAGAGACGACUCUGCGGUUGCGUGGAGUGGCGGCUGAGAGGAGAGGCAACAACUCGUUGUCUGUGACGGCCCGAGCGUUUGCGAGAGGGGAUGGAGCGGGGGUUGCAUCGUCACUGCCAGUUGCCAGAGUGGAUGGAGUGGUGGCCGCACGGACGCGCUCCUGGAGGUGCUGGUAUGCACCCUGAUUUUGAGCCUGGGAGGUUCCUUGCUCUGCCCUAUCUUCAAGGGUGUUCAUCUACUUUGGUAUCGUGCUCUGGAGUCAGGACGAUGCACUAAUGCAGAUUCGCAAUGAGCACAAGUCUGCAACCUUGAAGGAAAACCCGUUGCAACUGAUGACAUAAUAUUACGUCGCAACAAGAAUGUAUAGAGCUGCAGAGCUCUGUGGAUCCUUCUCUUCACAAAAGGAAACAAGAGGUAAUGUAAACAAUAGAUUCUCUUGUGAAAUUGCGAUUCAGCCUUGGGGCGUGGAUGGCGAGAAGCGGAGGCGUGUGCCUAGAGUAGCGGACCAUGAUGGAUUGAUGAGCUGAUGUCACGUGACGUACACACGUGGCGGCUGGUUAGGCUCCGGCGGCUGGAGCCAUCAUCGACCAUGAUGCCGCGCCAGGAGCACAAGGGCUAAGACGAGGACAUGUUGGUGCCGAUGAAAUAAGGUGCUGUCGGUUGAUGGGGGCCUAACCAUGAGUCUAACUGAAAGUGAACGGGAGCGAUGUGCAGAAAAAAAUCUUAGCACAUAGGCUGAAUUUGUAUAGUACUUCGAAUUUAUUAGGCAGUACCCCCUCCAUUUGUAUAUCACUUCCGAAUACUAGUUCAGGUUAUUAGGCAGUACUAUUGAAUUUAAGGAUUGAUACUUUGAAGAUUUAAAAAGGUUACUAAACUUUGUACCAAGUCUACUAUUAUGUAUGGGAAGAACAUGCGCUAAAAUAUUGAUAAUGCAAAUGAAAGUGAUCGUUUGAUUAUUAAA